rnacentral:rRNA from 1 species
UACGUAGGGUGCAAGCGUUAAUCGGAAUUACUGGGCGUAAAGCGUGCGCAGGCGGUUAUGUAAGACAGGUGUGAAAUCCCAGGGCUUAACCUUGGAACUGCAUUUGUGACUGCAUAGCUAGAGUACGGUAGAGGGGGAUGGAAUUCCGCGUGUAGCAGUGAAAUGCGUAGAGAUGCGGAGGAACACCGAUGGCGAAGGCAGCCCCCUGGGCUGACACUGACGCUCAGGCACGAAAGCGUGGGGAGCAAACAGG